rnacentral:rRNA from 1 species
AAUGGGCGCAAGCCUGAUCCAGCCAUGCCGCGUGAGUGAUGAAGGCCUUAGGGUCGUAAAGCUCUUUCGCCAGGGAUGAUAAUGACAGUACCUGGUAAAGAAACCCCGGCUAACUCCGUGCCAGCAGCCGCGGUAAUACGGAGGGGGUUAGCGUUGUUCGGAAUUACUGGGCGUAAAGCGCACGUAGGCGGACUGGAAAGUUAGGGGUGAAAUCCCGGGGCUCAACCCCGGAACUGCCUCUAAAACUAUCAGUCUAGAGUUCGAGAGAGGUGAGUGGAAUUCCGAGUGUAGAGGUGAAAUUCGUAGAUAUUCGGAGGAACACCAGUGGCGAAGGCGGCUCACUGGCUCGGUACUGACGCUGAGGUGCGAAAGUGUGGGGAGCAAACAGGAUU